rnacentral:rRNA from 1 species
UACGUAGGGUGCGAGCGUUAAUCGGAAUUACUGGGCGUAAAGCGUGCGUAGGCGGUUCGUUGUGUCUGUGGUGAAAGCCCCGGGCUUAACCUGGGAAUGGCCAUGGAAACUGGCGAGCUGGAGUGUGGCAGAGGGGGGUGGAAUUCCGCGUGUAGCAGUGAAAUGCGUAGAGAUGCGGAGGAACACCGAUGGCGAAGGCAGCCCCCUGGGAUAACACUGACGCUCAUGCACGAAAGCGUGGGGAGCAAACAGG